GCUCGCCUGGGCAGCACAUACUAAAACUGGAAUGAUACAGAGAAUAUUAUCAUGGCCUGUGCAUAAGGAUGACACUCAAAUUUUCAAAGUGUUUCACAUUUUU